CAGGCUCGCACAAUCGCUCGCCCACCACGCCGCCUUCAUUCACAGCUCCCCGAUCCCAUCGGCCCAAUCCGCGUCGGCCCCCGCUCGGAGGAGGCGCAGCUCUCCGAGGAACGCUGCAUCAACGAGCUCGACCUGCCUCUGCGUGCUGCACGAGAUCGCGGCUCCGGCGUGAUGACUCUCCAGUCCUGGGUCGAGAUCGAGGCGGUCGGCACCACCACGACGCGCUCGAACUGCGGGGGCGACCCCAAUCCCGUUCUCAAUCCCCUACCCAUCCCAAUCGGCGGCAGCAUGGAGUGAUGGAGAAGGUGGACGCGGCCGGCUUCAACAACCUCCAUGGGCGGUUCUCCGUUGCCGCCGCCACCCCGGUCUCGUGUGCUGGCCCAUGGGAACAGGGAGGAGGUUAGGAGGAGGUGGCACGGUGGCGGCAGACCGAUCCGGCAGUCAGGGGAGCUCGAGGGCGGCAACCCGCCAUGCCCGCUCGGCCACCGGGCUUGGUCGUGUCACCGGAUACAUCCGGUGGUUAUUUCUCACGGAGAGUCCCAGCUCCGGCAAAAUCCAGACUGAUCUGAGCGCAAUACAAGGUGGUGUAUUUGGGAUUACCACCAGUUUCCCCAAUUCGUUGCAGACUCAAGUCGAUUUUGAGUCACCACUGGGAUUCUACUGAUACGAACAAUGAUGAGAGCUGUGCUUCUGUCAGUUGUGCCAUUCCCCAUUCAGGCGAGCAGGAACAGGCUCCUGAGAUUGUAGGUGCCUUCAAUUGCGCAGUAUUAAAUGGAUGCAUCAGUCUGUACAAAGUGGGGACAUGGACACAUGGUGGCAUCUGGCUGCAGUUAUAUCAGAAUUAUUGGUUACAUGAUGAAGUCAGAUUCCAACUGAGUUUGGGAACUUGAGAGGUACAAUAGAUCGUAUGAUGAAAGAGGGGAGAGGUGCAGAGUUUCAUGUGCCAAGAUAAUGUUUCAUCGACCACCGAUGCAGAGGUUUGUUCCUGUCUUUAUUUGUGCCAGCAUUGCCCUGUUCGCAAUAUUGAUUAGAAAAGUUAGAUAUAGUGUAUAUCGCAGUUGUAAAAAAAAUCUGGUUGGAUAGACUUGGUUAUAUGGAUAUUCUUUGCCGAGGUGUCGUAUUCGAAAAUUUUGUGGUACAACUUGUAUAGCAAAAUCAGUAGAUGCAUCUUUCAAGUUCCUGGUAUAUCAUUCCUAUGGAAGGCACGGUGUGGAAAAUUCUUGUCUCUGUGAAUGUUUUGUACUCAUCGACUCAAAUGCUCCCUGUCAGCUUCCAGGUGAUUUUUCUUUGUUUUGGUUUUCCUCUAUCAGCUUCUAUUACUCAUAUGUACAUCUCUUGGUUUGUUAUGUGUAAUGGUUUUUCUCUUUAUUCUGUCACGCAUGCGUGAAGGCAUGUAGUGGAUGGAAAAGGGGAGAUAACUUCAAGAAGAGAAGGUAAUGUCAAAAUUAUUUGGGAUCUGAAACAUGACAGUAGCCAGAUUCUUCAUUACCUUAGAUCACUAUUAUUUCUGUUGCGUGAUUUCAUUUUUGUGAAUACAAGUGAUCUGUCUCCUCAGAUAAAGAAAUUCAUUCUCCAAAGCCAGGCUCUUUCCUCAUAUAUUUGUCUAUCAGGGAAUGGAACACCACGGUUGCGGGCACAUAUGUGCCAAAGGCACGAUGGAUGGUAGAGAUGUUGAGUGUCUCGUUAAUCCUAAAGAGAACUGCAGGUGGCUUCCAAUGGGAGCAAAGUCUACCUAGGUGAUUGGCUAAGUUCUCACAUUUUAGUUCAAGAUUAUAUCUCCAGUAAUUUUCCAUAGGUGCAGGUCGACAAAUAUUUGAUAACAAUUCAAUCAAGUGUUGCUCUGCAAUGACUGAUAACAAUUCAAUCAAGUGUUACUCUGCAAUGAAGGCUGAAGGUUCAAUCAAGUGUUACUCUGCAAUGAAUUCAAUCACGAGUCAAGUUUAAAUUCGUGUCCAAUUCCAAAUGUGCUGAAAACCUUAAAGCUCUGUUCAGAUGAUGAGCAGCGUGCUCUGUUUACAAUCAGCUCUGGUUAUUAUUUGAUUAAAUUUCGUGUGUGAAAUGCUAAAUGUUCUUGAAAAGCUCGAGUUUCUGAAGCUCACAUGCGUCUUUUGAAGUGAUUUUUUGUUUGUUUUAUACUAUAUGACACUUUAUUAAUUACUAUAAAAGAAUUGAUCAAUGAUAGAAAUUAGAGGAA